ACAACUUUCAACAACGGAUCUCUUGGCUCUCGCAUCGAUGAAGAACGCAGCGAAAUGCGAUAAGUAAUGUGAAUUGCAGAAUUCAGUGAAUCAUCGAAUCUUUGAACGCACCUUGCGCCCCUUGGUAUUCCGAGGGGCACGCCUGUUUGAGUGUUCUGA
rnacentral:rRNA from 1 species